UUCCUACGGGACGCAGCAGUGGGGAAUAUUGCACAAUGGGCGAAAGUCUGACCCAGCAACGCCGCGUGAAGGAAGAAGGCUUUCGGGUUGUAAACUUCUUUUAAGGGGGAAGAGCAGAAGACGGUACCCCUUGAAUAAGCCACGGCUAACUACGUGCCAGCAGCCGCGGUAAUACGUAGGUGGCAAGCGUUGUCCGGAUUUACUGGGUGUAAAGGGCGUGCAGCCGGAGAGGCAAGUCAGAUGUGAAAUCCGCGGGCUCAACUCGCGAACUGCAUUUGAAACUGCUUCCCUUGAGUAUCGGAGAG
rnacentral:rRNA from 1 species